AUGUCUAAAAACAGCUAAGGGUGAAUUGGUCAGGGUUAUGGUAUAAACAGCUAGGGGAAUGGUCCAGGUUAUGUCUAAAACAGCUAGGGGAAUUGGUCAGGGUUAUGUCUAAAACAGCAGGGGGAAUUGGUCAGUGGUUAUGUGUAAAACAGCAGGGGGAAUUGGUCAGGGUUAUGUGUAAAACAGCCAGGGGGAAUUGGUCCGGGUUAUGUCUUAAAACACGCAGGGGGAAUUGGUCAGGUGUAUGUCUAAAACAGCUAGGGGAAUGGUCAGGGUUAUGUGUAAAACAGCAGGGGGAAUUGGUCAGGGUUAUGUCUAAAACAGCUAGGGGAAUUGGUCAGGGUUAUGUCUAAAACAGCUAGGGGAAUUGGUCAGGGUUAUGUGUAAAACACUUUGGGGAAGUAUCCUUAUGGUGAGUAAACUUGGGUAUAAUUUGGGACACAGCCGCAGACACUUGCGGAGUAUGGGGAAUAGAUGUGCCAUUAAACACAUGUAGAAUAUGGGGAAUAGAUGUCCCAUGAGUGACUUGAGGAGUAUGGGGAAUAUAUGUCCCAUUAGAGACUUGAGGAGUAUGGGGAAUAUAUGUCCCAUUAGAGACUUGAGGAGUAUGGGGAAUAGAUGUCCCAUUAGAGACUUGAGGAGUAUGGGGAAUAGAUGUGCCAUUAAAGACUUGAGGAGUAUGGGGAAUAGAUGUCCCAUUAGAGACUAGAGGAGUAUGGGGAAUAGAUAUCCCAUUAGAGACCUGAGCCCUGUGCUCCUCCUGCUAACCGUCUGUCAUACUGGGAAAAUGUUAUACACCCUAAUCUAGAGAUCGCUCCCUGCAUGUGACUGUUGUUUAGGAGGGAGGGAGUUGUCUGAUUCCCCAACUAAACAGCAGAGAUAAUGGAUUUAUCCCCUGUUUAUCGGCCUGGACCGGGCUCAGCCCUGCAACAACACAGGAAUUUCCUGGUGAGAAACAAGUCAGAGAGAAAGGGAGAGAGAUAGAAAGAAAGAAAGAAAGAAAGAAAGAAAGAGAGAAAGAAAAAGAGAAAGAAAGAAAGAAAAAGAGAAAGAGAGAGAAAGAGAAAGACAGAAAGAAAUAGGAGAGGAGAUAGGUACAGGGAGAACUACAGAGAUAGACACAGAGAUAGAUACAGAGAAAAAGACAGAGAUAAAGAGAGGGAAACGAAUUGAUACAGACAUCAUCAACAGCUGUUGAAAUAGGUCAUUGUCUCGUCGGAUCAUUGCACAGAUAUCCUGAACGAUCUAGAAUUCUGUUCACGUUGGAAAAACUUCACAGAGAACCAAAGACCCACCAGCGAUCACACCCUGAUUAGAAACAUCUCAAUCGCCCAGUCCACCUGUUGUCUCAUGCAUGUUGACUGGUCUGACCGUAUAGGGCCCUGGUCAAAAGUACUGCAAGAGAUAGGGAGUGGGGUGUCAUUUCAGACACAGCCUGCCUGGGUCCUGUAAGCAGCACCUCUAGGGCAGGAGACAGGGACACUGUUAUCUCUGGCCUGAUUCCACAGACUGUUUGUUAUUCCAUGGAGUCAGUCUGUACCCUUCCCUCCGAUCACUGAGGAAACUACUGACUCUGCUCUCAGUAAACAUGGCUACUUCCCAGAACGACAACGACAGAUCCAGUCAACAAACCGCAAACUAACCACUGACUUCUGAUAGAGAACCCGGAGACUUGGGAGGAAAUGAUAUUCUGUGUAGAAGGGUAAAGAUAGAGCAGAGAGUUGACGAGAGGAGAGAGGUGAUGGGAGGGCUGAUGUGACACUGGCUCAGAUCAUUAAGGCUAGGGGAGGUGUGGCACAGCAGCGAUGAUCAAUUGACAGUUAAGUCAUUGAAUGCAAAAAGCCACGUGUGCCCAACUCAAAAAAAAAAAAAAUGGUGUG
rnacentral:lncRNA from 1 species